ACUUUCAAAGGAUAACAGCUCAUCCACUAAUUUUAGGUAUUAACACCUCUUGGUGCAAUUCCAAGUGAAAGUA
rnacentral:tRNA from 1 species